UACGGAGGGGGCUAGCGUUGUUCGGAAUUACUGGGCGUGAAGCGCACGUAGGCGGCUUUGUAAGUUAGAGGUGAAAGCCUGGAGCUCAACUCCGGAAUUGCCUUUAAGACUGCAUCGCUAGAAUUGUGGAGAGGUAAGUGGAAUUCCGAGUGUAGAGGUGAAAUUCGUAGAUAUUCGGAAGAACACCAGUGGCGAAGGCGACUUACUGGACACAUAUUGACGCUGAGGUGCGAAAGCGUGGGGAGCAAACAGG
rnacentral:rRNA from 1 species